AAGGCCUUAACUUAAUUAAAGUGUUUGAGUUGCAUUCAUAGGAUAUAAGAUAGAAUCUUAUAGGUCUUA
rnacentral:tRNA from 1 species